rnacentral:rRNA from 7 species
CAAAUGACUCUCGGCAAUGGAUAUCUCGGCUCUUGCAUCGAUGAAGAACGUAGUGAAAUGCGAUACUUGGUGUGAAUUGCAGAAUCUCGUGAACCAUUGAGUCUUUGAACGCAAGUUGUGCCCGAGGCCUUGUGGCCGAGGGCACGCCUGCUUGGGUGUCAUGG